rnacentral:rRNA from 1 species
GACUCUCGGCAACGGAUAUCUCGGCUCUCGCAUCGAUGAAGAACGUAGCGAAAUGCGAUACUUGGUGUGAAUUGCAGAAUCCCGCGAACCAUCGAGUCUUUGAACGCAAGUUGCGCCCGAAGCCUCUAGGCCGAGGGCACGCCUGCCUGGGCGUCACGC